GGUGAAGAGAGAAGAAAGCUCAGAUAGGAAAUUAUUGCUAGAGUGAACCAUCCAGCUCAAAAGUGCUGGACUGGCAAAGAGCCAGAAGUAAAGCACGUUGUAGGAAGUUGUGCUCUGGUGACAGACAAGGAAACCUGAAACUUAAGCCAUUUCAAGUGAGGUGACAGACCUUCCAAGAGAAUAACAGCAUCACACAACAGCCACUGAUUUAAUGGAAUAUGGCAACAAAGAACAAGAGAUGUAAAUAUAAUCGAGUCCUUUGUUCCAUGAGGAAUUUAUCACAAAUAAUUCAGAAGAAAUGAAAAGCAUGAUGAGGUGGUGAAUAACAGAGGCUCAGAAAUUGGACUCUACGGUUUUGAAUCCUGCCUUCACAACUUCUGUGUGAUGUUGAACAAAUUACUUAACCUCUCAGACUCUCCAUAAAAUGAGGAUAAUAAUAUCUACUUCACAGGGUUGUUGCAGGGACAGAAUGAAAAAAAUACAUGUAAAUCACUUAGAACGAUGCCUGACACAUACUUAGUAAAUGCUAGCUACUAUUUAUAUUUUAACAAUAGAAUGAGGCACCACUGUAAACUAUCAUGGUAUGUAAUCCAUCCCACCAAUUAUUUAUGGAUAACUGUUACUUAUUCUUUUGUUAAAAAGUAUUGCAUAUGAUGUCUAUGACAUAUUUGCUUCUUAUAAUAAUGAAACUUCAGAAAAUUCACUGUGUGUUAUCAAAUGUGAUUGUCUCGAACAAUUACUGAGUAUGAUCUCAAUCAUCAGAGUGAAAAAACGUUACCGUGGAAUCACACGGGACUCUGAGACUCUCUGAUACACAUGCACCCCUUACAACACCUACACAGUGACAUACAUGCAAAAGGUACUGCUUGCCUCAAUGUUUGCAUGCAAGAACAAACAAGAAAUGUGUGUCUCUGAAAUAAAAUGUUAACUUUUCAUGCCAAUAUAGGUAUUUAUUGUUUGUGGGAACAUCAUUUAAUAGAUAGGUAUUAACACUUUUACAAUUGGUUACUUAGGAUACUGUAUUUUAACUCAGCAUCAGUCAGUUUUUCUGAAAUGUGAUAUAUUUUCUUCCUCCUUUAAUAUUUGUACUAAUAACAAUGGUACCUAACAUUCAUUGACCAAUUACUACAUGCCUGUGCUUUCUUUGUAUUAACUUGGAACAGCCUGAUGAGCUGGAUACUCAUUAUUUCCAUUUUAUAGGUAAGGCACAGCAGUUUGAAUAGCUUGACUAAGUUAAUAGCUAGUGCGUGGUGGAGCCUAGAUUUGGACCAGUAAUCUCUAGCAUCAACUCAGUUUAACCAUUGUACCAUACUAUACACUAAGUUAUAUAUUAGUGUGUUAAAUGCAUAAUGUUCUACAAAAUGCCUGACAGGGGUUUGCAUUUGCCAUUGGUUGAUUUUAAAUCAAGUGAAAAUUAGAAGUGUGACUCUGAGACUAUGUUAAAGUGAACUUUAUAACAUUUAAAAAAUAAAUUUACUUAU